UGCCAUUCUACCUCAUGAGGUACACAUGUGU
rnacentral:piRNA from 1 species